AACGCGAAGAACCUUACCUGGGCUUGAACCGCUACUGACCAAGGGUAGAAAUAUCCUCUUCCCGCAAGGGACAGUAGUAGAGGUGCUGCAUGGCUGUCGUCAGCUCGUGCCGUGAGGUGUUGGGUUAAGUCCCGCAACGAGCGCAACCCUUACUCGUAGUUGCCACCCGCAAGGGGGAACUCUACGAGGACUGCUCCGGAUAACGGAGAGGAAGGUGGGGAUGACGUCAAGUCAGCACGGCCUUUAUGUCCAGGGCUACACACGUGUUACAAUGCAUGGUACAGACUGUUGCGAACCCGCGAGGGGGAGCUAAUCGGACAAAGCCAUGCUCAGUUCGGAUUGCAGUCUGCAACUCGGCUGCAUGAAGCUGGAAUCGCUAGUAAUGGCGUAUCAGAUCGACGCCGUGAAUACGUUCCCGGGCCUUGUA
rnacentral:rRNA from 1 species